rnacentral:lncRNA from 1 species
CGGCCGCGGCGUUUCCAUGACGACGACGUCGGGGGCCCCCGGGUGGGGUCCGCUCGGGCGCAUGCGCGCGCGUGCGGGUCGCGGUCCGUCUUUCCCGAGUCGCCCGCGCUGCUGUUCGCGGUUCUGUGGACCGCGGGCGGCCUGGGCUCCCUCUGCCAUGGCCCCCGCGCCCAGGUCCUUGCUGUCGCCGCCGAUUUUGCUGCUGCUGCUGCUGCUGAGCCUGGCGCUGCUAGGCGCCCGCGCUGAACCCGCCGCCGGGAGCGCUGUCCCCGCGCAAAGCCGUCCGUGCGUGGACUGUCACGCAUUUGAAUUCAUGCAGCGCGCCCUUCAGGACCUACGGAAAACCGCCUACAGCCUGGACGCACGGACGGAGACCCUCCUGCUGCAGGCUGAGCGCCGGGCUCUGUGUGCCUGCUGGCCAGCUGGACGCUGAAGAUCAUUGGCCAGUGAUGUUCCCUGUCAAUAAAUGCCUGCUAGC